rnacentral:rRNA from 1 species
UACGGAGGGUGCGAGCGUUAAUCGGAAUUACUGGGCGUAAAGCGUACGUAGGCGGCUUAUUAAGCAAGAUGUGAAAGCCCCGGGCUCAACCUGGGAAUGGCAUUUUGAACUGGUAGGCUCGAGUUCUGAAGAGGGUGGUAGAAUUUCCUGUGUAGCGGUGAAAUGCGUAGAUAUAGGAAGGAAUACCGGUGGCGAAGGCGGCCACCUGGUCAGAGACUGACGCUGAGGUACGAAAGCGUGGGGAGCAAACAGG